rnacentral:tRNA from 1 species
AGAGGGGUGUCCGAGUGGUUGAAGGAGCACGCCUGGAAAGUGUGUAUACCGGAAACGGUAUCGAGGGUUCGAAUCCCUUCCCCUCUGCAA